GAACCAAUUCUAGCCCUAACACUCAUUCACCUAACAAUAUCCAAACAUAAAAUAAACCAUUCAUUACUAAAGUAUUGGAGAAAGAAAUUUACAUUAGGAGCCACAGAUAUAGUACCGCAAGGGAAAGAUGAAAGACCCAAUUAAAAGUAAAACCAAGCAAAGACUAAACCUUGUACCUUUUGCAUAAUGAACUAACUAGAAAUACUCUAACUAAAAGAACUUAAGCUAGAUACCCCGAAACCAAACGAGCUACCUAAAAACAAUUUUAUGAAUCAACCCGUCUAUGUAGCAAAAUAGUGGGAAGAUUUUUAGGUAGAGGUGAAAAGCCAAACGAGCUUGGUGAUAGCUGGUUACCCAAAAAAUGAAUUUAAGUUCAACUUUAAAUUUACUUCAAGAACUAAAAAUCUUAACGUAAAUUUAAAUUAUAGCCAAAAGAGGGACAGCUCUUUAGGAACGGAAAAACCUUUAAUAGUGAAUAAUAGAAAUUUUACUUAACCAUUGUAGGCCUAAAAGCAGCCACCAAUAAAGAAAGCGUUCAAGCUCAACAUAAAAAACUGUUUAAUCCCUAAAUCUAUAUAUAUAUUUCCUAAAUUAUAAAUUGGGCUAUUCUAUAUUAUCAUAGAAGAAACACUGUUAAUAUGAGUAACAAGAAUUUAUUCUCCUAGCACAAGUGUAUAACAACCCGAAUACCCAUUGUUAGUUAUUACCAAAUUUAUAGACAACAACCACAAAAACAAAUUUAUCUAAAACUAACUUGUUAGCCCAACACAGGAGCGCUUUAAGGAAAGAUUAAUCAAAAUAAAAGGAACUCGGCAAACAAGGGCCCCGCCUGUUUACCAAAAACAUCACCUCUAGCAUUUCAAAUAUUAGAGGCAUUGCCUGCCCAGUGACCAAAGUUAAACGGCCGCGGUAUCCUGACCGUGCAAAGGUAGCAUAAUCACUUGUUCCUUAAUUAGGGACUCGUAUGAACGGCUAAACGAGGGUCCAACUGUCUCUUAUUUUUAAUCAGUGAAAUUGACCUUCCAGUGAAGAGGCUGGAAUAAUUUAAUAAGACGAGAAGACCCUAUGGAGCUUAAAUUAACAAACUUACUUGAAAUUUCACCACACCUAAUGGCACAAAAAUAAUACCCUAAAUUUUAAAUUUUGGUUGGGGUGACCUCGGAGAAUAAAAAAUCCUCCGAAAGAAUUAUAACUUAGACCAACAAGUCAAUGUAACCUUGAUUCCAAUUGACCCAAAAUAUUUGACCAACGGACCAAGUUACCCUAGGGAUAACAGCGCAAUCCUAUUUAAGAGUCCAUAUCGACAAUAGGGUUUACGACCUCGAUGUUGGAUCAGGACAUCCCAAUGGUGCAGAAACUAUUAAUGGUUCGUUUGUUCAACGAUUAAAGUCCUACGUGAUCUGAGUUCAGACCGGAGAAAUCCAGGUCGGUUUCUAUCUAUUAACAAUUUCUCCCAGUACGAAAGGACAAGAGAAAUAGAGCCACCUUUGCAAAAGCGCUCUUAACCAAAUUUAUGAAACUAAUCUAAAUAAAAUAAUGUACUACAAUUAACCGCCUAGACCAGGUCAU
rnacentral:rRNA from 1 species